GAUGAACGCUGGCGGCGUGCUUAACACAUGCAAGUCGAACGGAAAGGCCAGUGCUUGCACUGGUACUCGAGUGGCGAACGGGUGAGUAACACGUGGGUGAUCUGCCCUGCACUUCGGGAUAAGCCUGGGAAACUGGGUCUAAUACCGGAUAGGACAAUGGUUUGGAUGCCGUUGUGGAAAGUUUUUUCGGUGUGGGAUGAGCUCGCGGCCUAUCAGCUUGUUGGUGGGGUAAUGGCCUACCAAGGCGUCGACGGGUAGCCGGCCUGAGAGGGUGUACGGCCACAUUGGGACUGCGAUACGGCCCAGACUCCUACGGGAGGCAGCAGUGGGGAAUAUUGCACAAUGGGCGCAAGCCUGAUGCAGCGACGCCGCGUGGGGGAUGACGGCCUUCGGGUUGUAAACUCCUUUCGCUAGGGACGAAGCGUAUUUGUGACGGUACCUGGAGAAGAAGCACCGGCUAACUACGUG
rnacentral:rRNA from 1 species